rnacentral:misc_RNA from 1 species
UCAAGAAAACUUUUAAACCAGCAAUUCCCAAAAGAGCCCUUUCAUCAUGAAACAAAAGUCAUGUACAGAAACAGAUUGAAAAUUUUCAGGUUCAACUAGUAACUCUAAAAUUUUCUGAAACAAGAACAAACCAAACUGCCUCAAAACACCAUUUCAUUCCCAAUACUGUUUAUUCAUAGAACUCUUUAUCUCACAGCACCUAACAACCCACAUGCCAGUCAUAGUCUCCUCCUUGCCCCGUCCACUUUGUUCGCAUCACUUGUGGUAGGAUCCUGACAAUAAACCCCAUCACUGCAUCUAAGAAGAAUUAUGCAAGACCCACUCCACAAGAGUUGAAAUGCCAAAUCCUGUUGCAGAACGCUUCUUCUCAUUCCACACAGGGCCAGCCAAGUCGAUGUGCAUCCAUUGAACCUUCUCAUCAACAAACUGUUUCAAAAAUAGAGCUGCAGUAAUAGCACCGCCUUGACGACCACCAGUGUUGACCAUAUCAGCCACUCCCGACUUCAUGGACUCCCAGUAACUUUCCUCUAAUGGCAUCCUCCAAAGUUUCUCUCCACUGACCUCUGCUGCUGUGAAAACCUCGCUGGCCAAGUCAUCACUGGGUGUGAAGACACCUGCAAUUGACGGACCAAGAGCAACUACACAGGCACCAGUCAACGUUGCCAGGUCAACUAUCUGCAAAGUAACAGUUUUAGCACAAAUUUUAAAUUCGAAGCAAACAACCAUAUAAGGCACAAACUCUUCCAAAAUAGAACAGGACAAUCAAUUUACAAUCAGAAAACAGCAUUCUAAAUCCUCAUCACGUUAAUAUUAAUGGAUCAUAAUAUUAUACAUUACAGAACACUACUACUAUUUUCAGUUAUCAAUCAAAUAUCACAUAAAGUUUAACAUAUCAAGCUUUAAAAAAAAAAUGAAAAAAACACUUCAACAGCUUCAGUCCACUAUAUCUUCUACAUAACCAUUCCAAGAAUGUAGGCAUAAAUUUUAUAAGUUAAUUCAGAAUAAAAAAUAACUAAAAACAGCAAAAAGAAAUCUGCAACCAUCCUUGCCAGUUGCCACUAGCAUACCUUCUCUACGCCCUGGUUACACGCAUAAACUAAGGCAUCUGCAAGUGUAAGCCUGCCUUCAGCAUCAGUGUUAUUGACCUCAAUUGUCUUUCCAUUCGAGGCGGUCACUAUGUCGCCUGGUCGCAUGCCUGAGCCGCUAAUCAUAUUUUCGCAUGCAGCGACAAUAAAGUGUACUUCUACUCCCGGAGGUUUAAUUUGACCGAUGGCUUUUGCCGCACCAAAAGCUGCUGCAGAACCACCCAUAUCAAAUUUCAUUAGCUCUAUAGAACAGCCAGGCCCAGUCUUUAUGUUGUAACCGCCACUGUCGAAUGUUAAUCCCUUCCCGACUAUAGCCAACUUCCUUUUCACAUCACCGCCUGGAGGCUUGUAACAUAAGUGAAUAAAAUGAGGGGGAUUCUCAGAUGCAGCAGCAACACCCAAGUAAGAACCCAUCUUCAAUUCUUUACACUGCUCUACAUCUAAUAUCUUUGCAGUAAAAACAUCACUGUAUAAUGAGGCAACUUUUGAUGCCUCUUCUGCCAGGACUCCAGGAGUAAGAACAUUGGCCGGUGCAUUUACAAGCUCUUUUCCAAAAAUUACCCCAGAGCAAACAUCAUUUGAAUACUUGAGUUUCUUUUCCAGUUCUGGACUAGAACCCAAACCGAUAAUAUCCACAGAUUUCAGCAGUGAUUUUUUGGAUUCCUUCUUAAACCUAUUAUCUUCAUACACUCCGAGCACAGUUCCUGAUGCAAUCGACGAAGCAAUGCUUAGUUUGGAGUCUUCCAAAAUGUCACCAGAAGAUGCAAGGAUCACAGCGGCGUUACUUGAUUGAGAAGUCUUUGCAACUGCAGCAACAGCCUCGCCGACACCUCGAUAUGCAGUUGAAAUAGAUGAGGGAGAACACUGGCCAAGUCCGACUAGAGCCAGCCUUCUAAAACCCAAACCUGGAAGCCGGAGAAUUGUUGACUGUCCAGCUUUUCCUGUGAAGUCCUCCUCGGUGGAUGCUUCCACUAAAAGGCCACCCAGCUUUUCGUCUAGUUUUUUCAAAAUUGGAUUCUCAAACUUGGAAUCGGAGUCCUUGGAAACAUCUUUCUCUGAAACGGCCACAGCAAGUAUGUCUCCCUUCCAUUCUGUGAUGUCAAUCUCCUUCGCAGAAAAUGCAAUCUGUGGGGGAUCGAUGACGUUGGGCUUGGUGAGGCCGAGUGUGGCGUGUGGCACGGCGGCGCUGCUCGCCAUGCGGAGGAGGCGGGAGUGGAGACCGGGGGACCGGAUCGAGGAGCGGCGGAGCUGAGGGGAGACGAAGCGCGAUGAGAGGAGGGCAGCGGCGGUGGUAGCGACGGCGAUGGUGGGGGCUCGG